GCUGGGAUUGGACCACCUUCCCUGGGAGCGGAGGAUUCCUGAACUAAAGUCCCUGUUUGGUUAACAAGGAAGUGGCCUGGAGAAAAUUUUUGCAUUUUUAAAGAGGAUUAGCUGACUGGAAGGAUUCAGAAAAUACGGAACUUGUUUUUUGAGGAGGGUGAAGAGUUCCCUGAACCCUUCACCCCAAGACUGAAACCGUGCCUGGUAGGUAAAGCGGAUUUUGGAAGGGAAGAUUUAAAAACACGUUUAAUUAAUAAGCACUCGAACUGCAGAACUAGUUCACCCUGCUUCGCACCAAGUGGCCUCAAAGAUCAGAAUGACCUUGGCCGUCCUUAUAUCGGAAUGAAUCCUCACUAGAAAGAAGGGCGAGAAACACCAAAGCUCAACUGAAUUUCCG
rnacentral:lncRNA from 1 species